CGCGUGACUCGGGGAUAGCCUUUCGAAAGAAAGAUUAAUACCCGAUGGCAUAGUUCUUCCGCAUGGUGGAACUAUUAAAGGAAUUUCGGUCAUCGAUGGGGAUGCGUUCCAUUAGGUUGUUGGCGGGGUAACGGCCCACCAAGCCUUCGAUGGAUAGGGGUUCUGAGAGGAAGGUCCCCCACAUUGGAACUGAGACACGGUCCAAACUCCUACGGGAGGCAGCAUG
rnacentral:rRNA from 1 species